UACGUAGGUGACCAGCGUUGUCCGGAUUACUGGGCGUAAAGAGCGCGCAGGCGGUCGUUCAAGUCGGAGUGUGAAAGCCCCCGGCUCAACUGGGGAGGGUCACUCGAUACUGAUCGACUUGAAGGCAGGAGAGGGAAGCGGAAUUCCCGGUGUAGUGGUGAAAUGCGUAGAUAUCGGGAGGAACACCAGUGGCGAAGGCG
rnacentral:rRNA from 1 species